UCACCACACCCAGAGACACAGACACAAAUAAUAAGAGAUUAUGAUUAUGUUGUCAUAUGUUUCAUAUUCCAAUUGCCUCGGUGGCAAUCAAUGAACAACGCCAAUUCUGAAACUUCUUCUCCUUCUUCUUCUUUUGUUUCUCUUGUGUACUUCUACUUCUUCUGAACAUGGAACUGUUGUCUCUGAGACUCACCCCUUCACCUUCGAGUUCGACUUCAUCGCUUCCUGCAGCACUUGCUCACUGCUCCAAGCUAUGUGAAUUUCAGCCGAGGAAGAAGAAGAAGGCGUGCUUCGACGCGCCUAGGCUUGCGGUGCGGUGUGUGAAGGCCUCGGCGGAGCGAACCGGUGAUACGAUCGAUGAUGGGGAGGCUCGUAGCGGGUUCACCACACCUGCCAUGGAAGUCACCACAUUCAAUCGAAGCACUUUCAGCGAUGCUGCUGACUUUCCCGUUUGGGAAAAGAUUGGUGCUGUCGUCAGACUCAGUUAUGGUAUCGGGAUUUAUGGUGCCAUGGCUGUUGCGGGGAGUUUUAUAUGUUCAAUCACGGGAAUUGACUCUCUGGGUGGUUUCCAUCUAUCGUUAGAUGCCAUUUUGGAAGGGCUUGGAUAUGCAGCUCCUCCAAUUAUGGCACUUUUGUUUAUACUCGAUGAUGAAGUUGUGAAGCUAUCACCCCAUGCCCGUGCCAUCAGAGAUGUAGAGGAUGAAGAACUGUGGAGCUUUUUCUAUGGGAUGUCCCCUUGGCAGUUUAUACUGAUGGUUGCAGCAAGUUCAGUUGGAGAGGAGCUCUUCUACAGGGCUGCUGUUCAGGGGGCAUUGGCUGAUAUAUUUUUACGAGGCAGUAAUCUUAUAACAGAUGUUCAAGGAAUGGCAUCAUUGACCGGUGUGCUGCCUCCAUUUGUUCCAUUUGCUCAAGCAUUUGCGGCUGUUCUUACAGCUGUCCUUACUGGUUCUCUCCUAUUACAUGGCUGCCUCUCCUAAAGAUCCUACUUAUGUUGUUGCACCUGUUUUUACAAUCUCGCUCUGGUCGCCAAGAUUUGAAAAAGCUAUUUGAAGCCUGGUAUGAAAAACGGCAAAUGAAAAAAAUCUAUUCCCCACUUCUGGAAGGACUGCUGCACUAUACCUAGGUUUCGAGUGGAUCCAAACUGAUAAUAUUCUUGCUCCCAUUAUCACACAUGGCAUAUAUUCCACUGUGAUAUUGGGACAUGGCCUUUGGAAGAUAAAUGACCACCGGCGUAGACUACGUCAAAGAAUCCAACAGCUCAGUCAGAAGAAAAAAAACUCCAACUAGAUUUUGAAAUAUCCUCCAUGUCCAUGACUGAUUUUGGUUUUAAAAAAAGUGUAUAUUAGAGUUGUUGUAUAAAAAAAAGAUAUGUAUACUCAUGUUAGUUUUGGUCUCGUACAUACAGAAUAUGCAGCUUUUGAUUACAGAAAUUUCGAAAUAAGAGUUGUAACUCUUUUUUCCCUUAAUAAAAUGGAAUAAUCCAAAAGUGGGUUUUUUUGUGC